rnacentral:rRNA from 1 species
UACGUAGGUGGCGAGCGUUGUCCGGAUUUACUGGGCGUAAAGGGAGCGUAGGCGGACUUUUAAGUGAGAUGUGAAAUACUCGAGCUCAACUUGAGUGCUGCAUUUCAAACUGGGAGUCUAGAGUGCAGGAGAGGAGAAUGGAAUUCCUAGUGUAGCGGUGAAAUGCGUAGAGAUUAGGAAGAACACCAGUGGCGAAGGCGAUUCUCUGGACUGUAACUGACGCUGAGGCUCGAAAGCGUGGGGAGCAAACAGG